AUGACCGGGACUCCUCUCCUGCUCCUUCUCCUCCUUACCCUCUGCCCAGGGUCCAGCUCUCAGGCUGUGGUGACCCAGGAGCCAUCAUUGUCCGUGUCUCCAGGAGGGACAGUGACGCUUACCUGUGGCCUUAGCUCUGGGUCAGUCUCCAAUACUCACUAUCCUAAGUGGUUCCAGCAGACCCCAGGCCAGGCUCCCCGCAUGCUCAUCUACAACACAAACAACCGCCCCUCUGGGGCCCCUGAGCGCUUCUCUGGAUCCAUCUCUGGGAACAAAGCCGCCCUCACCAUCUCGGGGGCCCAGCCUGAGGAUGAGGGGGACUAUUACUGUGCUAUAGAUCAUGGCAGUGGGAGCAGCUUAACUUACUCACAGUGGCUCAGAUGCUGA